UGAGUCGAAGGUGAUGGCGUUCCACCUUAUCCAAACCGCUCCCUCGCUGGAGCUGAUGACGCCUGGUAUGUC
rnacentral:ncRNA from 2 species